CAACUACUCCCUCCGUCCGGUAUUAAGUGUCGCAACUUUGUCUAGAUACACAUGUAUCUAGGCAUGUUUUAGUUGUAGGUACAUGCGUAUCUAGACAAAGUUGCAACACUUAAUAACGGACAGAGGGAGUACUUA
rfam:Brachypodium distachyon strain Bd21 chromosome 2, whole genome shotgun sequence.